rnacentral:rRNA from 1 species
AUUGAACGCUGGCGGCAAGCCUAACACAUGCAAGUCGCACGAGUGGCGGACGGGUGAGUAAUGUCCGGGAAACUGCCUGAUGGAGGGGGAUAACUACUGUAAACGGUAGCUAAUACCGCAUACCAUCGGAUGUGCCCAGAUGGGAUUAUCUAGUAGGUGGGGUAAAGGCUAACCUAGGCGACGAUCCCUAGCUGGUCUGAGAGGAUGACCAGCCACACUGGAACUGAGACACGGUCCAGACUCCGACGGGAGGCAGCAGUGGGGAAUAUUGCACAAGUGGCGCAAGCCUGGUGCAACCAUGCCGCGUGUAUGAAGAAGGCCUUCGGGUUGUAAAGUAAUUUCAGCGGGGAGGCGUUACCCGCAGAAGAAGCACCGGCUAACUCCGUGCCAGCCGCCGCGGUAAUAC